AGCUCCAAUAGCGUAUAUUAAUGUUGUUGCAGUUAAAAAGCUCGUAGUUGAAUUUAGGAAGGUCAACCUUCCUGUCUGCCCUCCUCAUGGCAACUGAUAUUGCUAUGUGGAACAGACUUUUACUGUGAGAAAACUAAAGUGCUCAAAGCAGGCUAACGCUUGAAUAUUAAAGCAUGGAAUAAUAAAAUAGGACUUAAUUCUAUUAUUGGUCAUUGGAUUAAGUAAUGAUUAACAGAAACAGUUGGGGGCAUUCGUAUUUAAUUGUCAGAGGUGGAAUUCUUGGAUUAAUUAAAGACGAACUAGUGCGAAAGCAUUUGCCAAGGAUGUUU
rnacentral:rRNA from 1 species